CGCGUAGGCGGGAUGGCAAGUCGGUCGUGAAAUCCUUCGGCUCAACCGAAGAACGUCGAUCGAUACUGCCGUUCUAGAGGAUUGCAGAGGAGACUGGAAUUCCCGGUGUAGCGGUGAAAUGUGUAGAGAUCGGGAGGAACACCGGUGGCGAAGGCGGGUCUCUGGGCAAUUCCUGACGCUGAGGCGCGAAAGCGUGGGGAGCAAACG
rnacentral:rRNA from 1 species